GUCUACAGCCAUACCACCCUGAACAUGCAUGAUCUUGUCUGAUUUCAGAAGCUAAGCCAGGUCAGGCCUAGUUAGUACUUGGAUGAGAGACUGCAUGGCAAUACAAGGUGAGGAAGGAA
rnacentral:rRNA from 1 species